ensembl:Y_RNA Y_RNA Y RNA
GGCUGGUCCAAAUGCAGUAGUUACAACUAACUGAUCACAGCCAGUUACAGAUUUCUUUGCUUCUUCACUCCUACUGCUUCACCUGACUAGCCCAAA